UACGUAGGGGGCAAGCGUUGUCCGGAUUUAUUGGGCGUAAAGAGCGUGUAGGCGGUUUGGUAGGUCCGCUGUGAAAACUCGAGCUCAACCUCGAGACGCCGGUGGAAACCAUCAGACUAGAGUCCGGAAGAGGAGAGUGGAAUUCCUGGUGUAGCGGUGAAAUGCGCAGAUAUCAGGAAGAACACCCGUGGCUAAGGCGGCUCUCUAGUACGGUACUGACGCUGAGACGUGAAAGCGUGGGGAGCGAACAGG
rnacentral:rRNA from 1 species